rnacentral:rRNA from 1 species
GAUGAACGCUGGCGGCGUGCCUAAUACAUGCAAGUCGAGCGAACAGACGAGGAGCUUGCUCCUCUGACGUUAGCGGCGGACGGGUGAGUAACACGUGGAUAACCUACCUAUAAGACUGGGAUAACUUCGGGAAACCGGAGCUAAUACCGGAUAAUAUAUUGAACCGCAUGGUUCAAUAGUGAAAGACGGUUUUGCUGUCACUUAUAGAUGGAUCCGCGCUGCAUUAGCUAGUUGGUAAGGUAACGGCUUACCAAGGCAACGAUGCGUAGCCGACCUGAGAGGGUGAUCGGCCACACUGGAACUGAGACACGGUCCAGACUCCUACGGGAGGCAGCAGUAGGGAAUCUUCCGCAAUGGGCGAAAGCCUGACGGAGCAACGCCGCGUGAGUGAUGAAGGUCUUCGGAUCGUAAAACUCUGUUAUUAGGGAAGAACAAAUGUGUAAGUAACUAUGCACGUCUUGACGGUACCUAAUCAGAAGGCCACGGCUAACUACGUG